rnacentral:tRNA from 1 species
UCCCAGAUGGCUUAGUGGUAAAGAACUCUUCUGCCAAUGGAGGAGACCCAGGUUCAAUCCCUGGGUGGGGAA